UACGUAGGGUGCGAGCGUUGUCCGGAAUUAUUGGGCGUAAAGAGCUCGUAGGCGGUGUGUCACGUCGGCCGUGAAAACCUGCAGCUUAACUGUGGGCGUGCGGUCGAUACGGGCAUCACUGGAGUUCGGCAGGGGAGACCGGAAUUCCUGGUGUAGCGGUGAAAUGCGCAGAUAUCAGGAGGAACACCGGUGGCGAAGGCGGGUCUCUGGGCCGAUACUGACGCUGAGGAGCGAAAGCGUGGGGAGCAAACAGG
rnacentral:rRNA from 1 species